rnacentral:rRNA from 1 species
UGCGCCUUGCCAGCCCGCUCAGAAACUUAAAGAAUUGACGGGGCCCGCACAAGCGGAGGAACAUGUGGUUUAAUUCGAUGAUACGCGAGGAACCUUACCUGGGCUAGAACGCAUUCGGAAUCAGGCCGAAAGGCCUGCGCCAGCGAUGGCCGCUUGCGAGGUGCUGCAUGGUUGUCGUCAGCUCGUGCCGUGAGGUGUCGGGUUAAGUCCCAUAACGAGCGCAACCCCUACUGCUAGUUGCCAGCGGGUCAUGCCGGGGACUCUAGCGGAACUGCCAGCGUAAGCUGCGAGGAAGGUGGGGAUGACGUCAAAUCAGCACGGCCCUUACGUCCAGGGCUACACACGUGUUACAAUGGCCGGUACAGAGGGCAGCCACCCCGCGAGGGGGCGCGAAUCCCGAAAGCCGGUCCCAGUUCGGAUCGGAGUCUGCAACCCGACUCCGUGAAGCUGGAUUCGCUAGUAAUCGCGCAUCAGCCACGGCGCGGUGAAUACGUUCCCGGGCCUU